UACGUAGGGUGCAAGCGUUGUCCGGAAUUAUUGGGCGUAAAGGGCUCGUAGGCGGUCCGUCACGUCGGGAGUGAAAACUUGGGGCUUAACCCCAAGCCUGCUUCCGAUACGGGCGGACUAGAGGUAGGCAGGGGAGAACGGAAUUCCUGGUGUAGCGGUGAAAUGCGCAGAUAUCAGGAGGAACACCGGUGGCGAAGGCGGGUCUCUGGGCAGUUACUGACGCUGAGGAGCGAAAGCGUGGGGAGCGAACAGG
rnacentral:rRNA from 1 species